ensembl:snoRNA
GUGCAGAACUUAUCCAGCGAGGUCCAUCCUGCAGUGGUUGUGUCCUUUCCUGUAGUGUCUGCUAGAGAGACGAGAGGCCGUUUGAGGCCCUGCGGUGGCUCCGCGCCGCAGGGUUAUAGGUAGACCUCCGACAACC